rnacentral:rRNA from 1 species
AGAGUUUGAUCCUGGCUCAGAUUGAACGCUGGCGGCAUGCCUUACACAUGCAANUCGAACGGUAACGCGGGGCAACCUGGCGACGAGUGGCGAACGGGUGAGUAAUGCAUCGGAACGUGCCCAGUAGUGGGGGAUAGCCCGGCGAAAGCCGGAUUAAUACCGCAUACGACCUACGGGUGAAAGGGGGGGAUCGCAAGACCUCUCGCUAUUGGAGCGGCCGAUGUCAGAUUAGCUAGUUGGUGGGGUAAAGGCCUACCAAGGCGACGAUCUGUAGCUGGUCUGAGAGGACGACCAGCCACACUGGGACUGAGACACGGCCCAGACUCCUACGGGAGGCAGCAGUGGGGAAUUUUGGACAAUGGGCGCAAGCCUGAUCCAGCCAUGCCGCGUGCGGGAAGAAGGCCUUCGGGUUGUAAACCGCUUUUGUCAGGGAAGAAAUCUUCUGAGUUAAUACCUCGGGAGGAUGACGGUACCUGAAGAAUAAGCACCGGCUAACUACGUGCCAGCAGCCGCGGUAAUACGUAGGGUGCGAGCGUUAAUCGGAAUUACUGGGCGUAAAGCGUGCGCAGGCGGUUAUGCAAGACAGAUGUGAAAUCCCCGGGCUCAACCUGGGAACUGCAUUUGUGACUGCAUAGCUGGAGUGCGGCAGAGGGGGAUGGAAUUCCGCGUGUAGCAGUGAAAUGCGUAGAUAUGCGGAGGAACACCGAUGGCGAAGGCAAUCCCCUGGGCCUGCACUGACGCUCAUGCACGAAAGCGUGGGGAGCAAACAGGAUUAGAUACCCUGGUAGUCCACGCCCUAAACGAUGUCAACUGGUUGUUGGGAAGGUUCCUUCUCAGUAACGUAGCUAACGCGUGAAGUUGACCGCCUGGGGAGUACGGCCGCAAGGUUGAAACUCAAAGGAAUUGACGGGGCACCCGCACAAGCGGUGGAUGAUGUGGUUUAAUUCGGAUGCAACGCGAAAAACCUUACCUACCCUUGACAUGUCUGGAAUCUUGCAUAGAUGUGAGAGUGCUCGAAAGAGAACCAGAACACAGGUGCUGCAUGGCCGUCGUCAGCUCGUGUCGUGAGAUGUUGGGUUAAGUCCCGCAACGAGCGCAACCCUUGUCAUUAGUUGCUACGAAAGGGCACUCUAAUGAGACUGCCGGUGACAAACCGGAGGAAGGUGGGGAUGACGUCAGGUCCUCAUGGCCCUUAUGGGUAGGGCUACACACGUCAUACAAUGGCCGGUACAGAGGGCUGCCAACCCGCGAGGGGGAGCCAAUCCCAGAAAACCGGUCGUAGUCCGGAUCGCAGUCUGCAACUCGACUGCGUGAAGUCGGAAUCGCUAGUAAUCGCGGAUCAGCUUGCCGCGGUGAAUACGUUCCCGGGUCUUGUACACACCGCCCGUCACACCAUGGGAGCGGGUUCUGCCAGAAGUAGUUAGCCUAACCGCAAGGGGGGCGAUUACCACGGCAGGGUUCGUGACUGGGGUGAAGUCGUAACAAGGUA